rnacentral:piRNA from 1 species
UGCCAUGCACUGUGCCUGAUUCUACUUGC